UACCCCUNANCCUCCCCUGGGAGUCGCCCCAAGUUGAACNCAAAGGAUUNACGGGGGCCCACAGCGGUGNGCNUNUGUUUNANUNGAAGCAACGCGAAGAACCUUCCAGGUUUNACAUCCCUCUGACCGCUCUAGAGAUAGAGCUUUNCNUCGGNACAGAGGUGACAGGUGGUGCAUNGUUGUCGUCAGCUCGUNUCGUGAGAUGUUGGGUUAAGUCCCGCAACGAGCGCAACCCCUAUUGUUAGUUGCCAUCAUUCAGUUGGGCACUCUAGCGAGACUGCCGGUAAUAAACCGGAGGAAGGUGGGGAUGACGUCAAAUCAUCAUGCCCCUUAUGACCUGGGCUACACACGUGCUACAAUGGCUGGUACAACGAGUCGCAAGCCGGUGACGGCAAGCUAAUCUCUUAAAGCCAGUCUCAGUUCGGAUUGUAGGCUGCAACUCGCCUACAUGAAGUCGGAAUCGCUUGUAAUCGCGGAUCAGCACNCCGCGGUGAAUACGUUCCCGGNCCUUGUACACACCGCCCGUCACACCACGAGAGUUUGUAACACCCGAAGUCGGUGACAUAC
rnacentral:rRNA from 1 species